rnacentral:rRNA from 1 species
GACGAACGCUGGCGGCGUGCUUAACACAUGCAAGUCGAACGGAAAGGCCCUGCUUUUGUGGGGUGCUCGAGUGGCGAACGGGUGAGUAACACGUGAGUAACCUGCCCUUGACUUUGGGAUAACUUCAGGAAACUGGGGCUAAUACCGGAUAGGAGCUCCUGCUGCAUGGUGGGGGUUGGAAAGUUUCGGCGGUUGGGGAUGGACUCGCGGCUUAUCAGCUUGUUGGUGGGGUAGUGGCUUACCAAGGCUUUGACGGGUAGCCGGCCUGAGAGGGUGACCGGCCACACUGGAACUGAGACACGGUCCAGACUCCUACGGGAGGCAGCAGUAGGGAAUCUUCCGCAAUGGGCGAAAGCCUGACGGAGCAACGCCGCGUGAGUGAUGAAGGUCUUCGGAUCGUAAAACUCUGUUAUUAGGGAAGAACAUAUGUGUAAGUAACUGUGCACAUCUUGACGGUACCUAAUCAGAAAGCCACGGCUAACUACGUG